rnacentral:rRNA from 1 species
AGUGAACGCUGGCGGUAGGCCUAACACAUGCAAGUCGAACGGCAGCACAGUAAGAGCUUGCUCUUACGGGUGGCGAGUGGCGGACGGGUGAGGAAUACAUCGGAAUCUACUUUUUCGUGGGGGAUAACGUAGGGAAACUUACGCUAAUACCGCAUACGACCUACGGGUGAAAGCAGGGGAUCUUCGGACCUUGCGCGAUUGAAUGAGCCGAUGUCGGAUUAGCUAGUUGGCGGGGUAAAGGCCCACCAAGGCGACGAUCCGUAGCUGGUCUGAGAGGAUGAUCAGCCACACUGGAACUGAGACACGGUCCAGGCUCCUACGGGAGGCAGCAGUUGGGAAUAUUGGACAAUGGGCGCAAGCCUGAUCCAGCCAUACCGCGUGGGUGAAGAAGGCCUUCGGGUUGUAAAGCCCUUUUGUUGGGAAAGAAAAGCAGCAGGUUAAUACCCCGCUGUUCUGACGGUACCCAAAGAAUAAGCACCGGCUAACUUCGUG